rnacentral:rRNA from 1 species
GACGAACGCUGGCGGCGUGCUUAACACAUGCAAGUCGAACGGAAAGGCCCCCAUCUUGGUGGGGGUGCUCGAGUGGCGAACGGGUGAGUAACACGUGGGUGAUCUGCCCUGUACUUCGGGAUAAGCUUGGGAAACUGGGUCUAAUACCGGAUAGGACCAUGGUUUAGUGUCUCAUGGUGGAAAGAUUAUUGUUUUGGUGCAGGAUGAGCUCGCGGCCUAUCAGCUUGUUGGUGGGGUAAUGGCCUACCAAGGCGUCGACGGGUAGCCGGCCUGAGAGGGUGGACGGCCACAUUGGGACUGAGAUACGGCCCAGACUCCUACGGGAGGCAGCAGUGAGGAAUAUUGCACAAUGGGCGCAAGCCUGAUGCAGCGACGCCGCGUGGGGGAUGACGGCCUUCGGGUUGUAAACUCCUUUCGUUAGGGACGAAGCCGCACUUUUUUUGGGUGUGGUGACGGUACCUUUGUUAAGAAGCACCGGCUAACUACGUG